ensembl:misc_RNA Metazoa_SRP Metazoan signal recognition particle RNA
UCUGGGCGUGGUGGCGCGCGCCUGUAGUCCCAGCUACUCGGGAGGCUGAGGUGGGAGGAUCGCUUGAGUCCAGGAGUUCUGGGCUGCAGUGCGCUAUGCCGAUUGGAUGCCGCACUAAGUUCGGCAUCAAUAUGGUGACCUCCCGGGAGCGGGGGACCACCAGGUUGCCUAAGGAGGGGUGAACCGGCCCAGGUCGGAAACAGAGCAGGUCAAAACUCCCGUGCUGAUCAGUAGUGGGAUCGCGCCUGUGAGUAGCCACUGCACUCCAGCCUGGGCAAUAUAGUGAGACUCCGUCCCCU